UACGUAGGGUGCGAGCGUUAAUCGGAAUUACUGGGCGUAAAGCGUGCGCAGGCGGUGAUGUAAGACAGGUGUGAAAUCCCCGAGCUUAACCUGGGAACUGCAUUUGUGACUGCAUUGCUGGAGUGCGGCAGAGGGGGAUGGAAUUCCGCGUGUAGCAGUGAAAUGCGUAGAUAUGCGGAGGAACACCGAUGGCGAAGGCAAUCCCCUGGGCCUGCACUGACGCUCAUGCACGAAAGCGUGGGGAGCAAACAGG
rnacentral:rRNA from 1 species